GAUGAAGAACGCAGCGAAAUGCGAUACUUGGUGUGAAUUGCAGAAUCCCGUGAACCAUCGAGUCUUUGAACGCAAGUUGCGCCCGAAGCCAUUAGGCCGAGGGCACGCCUGCCUGGGCGUCACACGUCGUUGCCCCCCCAUCUACUCCUUCGGGAUUGCGGGGGGCGGAUGAUGGCCUCCCGUGCGCCUCGUCGCGCGGUUGGCACAAAUGCCAAGUCCUCGGCGACGCACGCCACGACAAUCGGUGGUUGCGAAACCUCGGUUGCCCGUCGUGUGCGGUCGUCGCGCAUCGAGGGCUCGAAAAAAUUGCCGGGCUCCGGCUCGGCUUUCAACGCGACCCCAGGUCAGGCGGGGUUACCCGCUGAAUUUAAGCAUAUCAAUAAGCGGAGGA
rnacentral:misc_RNA from 1 species